rnacentral:misc_RNA from 1 species
AGGGGAAGGGGAAGGGGAAGGAGAAUUAUUUAUGUUUGGGAAGAGGUGAAGGAGAGGUAAAAUUAAGGGGUAUAGAAAUAGAAAUAUUAUGAAGUGUAAAAAAUUGAGAUUUGAGGGGUAAAAAUUACUUACCCUUACCUCCCAUUAACUCACAUCUUCCCAAAUAAGAUAAAAUAAUUAAUUAUCCCUCAUUAUCUUUAUUUACCCCUCCCUCACUAGAAUCCAAAUAGACCCUAAAUUACAAAUACAUAAUUUGUUGCCUUAAAUUGUAAAUCCCCAAACACAUUCUAUAAUUCACAUGGAUUCAAUACAAAUAUAAACACAAAUCAUCGCAAAUCACAAUAGAUUCAAUCCGCAUACAAUAUAUAUAGUAUAUAUCUAAAUCUCAAAUUCAAUACAACCAAAUUGCAAAUCCCAAUACACCCAAGUCGUAACAGAUUCAAUCAAUGCACAUAUAACAGAUUUGAUGUUUAAAGCCCAAAACAAAGAAGUCGAGAAUGCUAUUUGAAGAGUUUCUAGGCAAUAAUACUCAGAUCUCAUAUUUAAACAGCAUCUCGACUUUGCCAUUUUGAGAUAUGGUGGUGAAGAAGAUUGAAGACGAAGCAUCUCUUCUUGCAUGAAGACCGACGAGUGAACUAAAGACGGUGGUGAUGGUGUUGCGAGUGCCUGUCGAAUAAGAAGAAGAAGUUCAAGCAGGAGAGAAAUGCGUGAUUUAGAGAGGAGAAAGGUAGAAAGCUGGGUUGGGGGUGGGGUGAUUUGGAAUGGGAAGUAGAGUUAAGUUUCUA